GCCCAGUUGGCGCAGCUGGCUAGCGCGUUCCCUUGACAUGGGAAAGGUCACAGGUUCAAAUCCUGUACUGGGCACCA
rnacentral:tRNA from 1 species